GAGGGUAUAGCUCUAGUGGUAGAGUGCAUGCCUAGUAUGCAGGAGGUCCUGGGUUCAACCCCAGUGCCUCUG
rnacentral:tRNA from 1 species